CACGUAGGCGGGCUGCUUAGUCGGUAGUGAAAGCCCUCAGCUCAACCGAGGAAUUGCUCCCGAAACUGGUAGCCUUGAGGACAAGAGGGGAGAGUGGAACUUCUGGUGGAGCGGUGAAAUGCGUAGAUAUCAGAAGGAACACCGGUGGCGAAAGCGACUCUCUGGCUUGUUUCUGACGCUGAGGUGCGAAAGCGUGGGUAGCAAACA
rnacentral:rRNA from 1 species